UACGUAGGGCGCAAGCGUUGUCCGGAAUUAUUGGGCGUAAAGAGCUCGUAGGCGGUUUGUCGCGUCUGCUGUGAAAACCUAAGGCUCAACCUUGGGCUUGCAGUGGGUACGGGCAGACUAGAGUGCGGUAGGGGAGACUGGAAUUCCUGGUGUAGCGGUGGAAUGCGCAGAUAUCAGGAGGAACACCGAUGGCGAAGGCAGGUCUCUGGGC
rnacentral:rRNA from 1 species